CCUACGGGAUGCAGCAGUGGGGAAUAUUGCGCAAUGGGCGAAAGCCUGACGCAGCGACGCCGCGUGAGGGAUGAAGGUCUUCGGAUCGUAAACCUCUGUCAGCAGGGAAGAACGGUCACUGUGCUAAUCAGCAGUGAAUUGACGGUACCUGCAAAGGAAGCACCGGCUAACUCCGUGCCAGCAGCCGCGGUAAUACGGAGGGUGCGAGCGUUAGUCGGAAUUACUGUGCGUAAAGCGCUCGAUGGCGGUAUGUCAAGUCAAGGGUGAAAUCCCCGCGCUCAACGUGGGAACGGCCUUUGAAACGGGCAAACUGGACUGUGUGAGAGGAUGGUGGAAUUCCAGGUGUAGGAGUAAAAUCCGUAGAUAUCUGGAGGAACAUCAGUGGCGAAGGCGACUAUCUGGCACAUAACUGACGCUGAGGAGCGAAAGCGUGGGUAGCAAACAGGAUUAGAUACCCCAGUAGUC
rnacentral:rRNA from 1 species